UUCCAGGUGGCCUCAGAAAACCAGCUGUCUUUAUAUCCAAAUAAUAUCUUCUACAAAUUUUAAUCCACAAAAGCAAACAGAUGGAAGUUACUUUUAGUCAUGGCUAAGGACAAAACUUUUUAUUUUGCUUUCCUCUUUUCCAAAGGUUUCCCUGUCCAAUUUCUGUAUUUUUCUGGAUUCAAUUUAUGGUCUGAUACAGACACACCAAAGCAAAGGCAAAGAAGAUUUGGGAAGAGUCCUAUUAGUCUUCCAGGCUAGCAAUGUAUCAACAUUUCCUGAUCCACUAUUAUAAAAUGAUCACAUCACAUUUUCCUAGAAAAGAACAGUGUUUUGGGAUUUGGUUGUUGGUUUUAGUAUGCUGGUUGAUUGUCUUUUGUUUGACUUGGCUCUGUGUUGGUUUUGUUUAAUUUGGGGGGUUGUUGGCUUUUUAUUUGGUUGGUUUGGUUUUAAUUAAUUUUCAACUCUGAAUUUCAAAUUAAGGAUUUGAAGAAGCUUUAGCAAUACUUUGUGGCUGGACAACGGAUCUUUUUCCAAUUAAAGUCUUUUCAUGUAAUACAGAUUGAAGGUACACCCUCUUCAUAGGACUAGACAUGGAAAUGGAAUACUCCUACAUGCAAGUGCAGAUGCAAAAUGUCUUUUUGCCAUUCCUAUUUAUCUGCUUGAAGAUUGAAACAUACUGAAGAAGAAGAGAGCAUCUGGUAGAGUGUUUGUGUGAUACAAACCAUUUCUCAUUCGGUAUGUUAAUUCUAGGUCUCUCCGGUUCUAAGGUGACUGAACCUGUGUCCAUUAGGGUAUCUUGAAAGCUGGACACUACUGUAAAAAUAGGAAUGAAAGAGUAGGUGAAAAGGUAAGAAGAAGGGAGAAAAUUAAACUCCACAUAAAAGGAGUUCUUUGUAGAAGACAAGUGCCUGUGCAUGUAUAGAUUGCUGAAGUUACACACCUGGGAGACUUUGACAGAUCAUCGGAGAAAACCUUCAGAACUUCUUCUGGGUUCCUAUACUGUGGCACAUCAUGUAAUUUGAAGAAACCCAGGCCAUCAGAUCAUCUACACGGGGCAGGAAGACAUGAUAGGGAACUCAUGAGGGUUUCAUAACAUCCUGGAACAACUGAUCUUGGAACUUGGGUUUUACAAUUACUAUAACAGAUUUUUAGACACCUCUUCUACAUGAAGACUGACAUGAAGUAAACACCCAUAGCAGACCUCUACAUUUAGACACCUGAUCCAGUCAUGUCUAUUGGCAUUAUAGAUAUUUAAAAUGUCUAAAAUAUCCAAGAAGAACCCAAAGAUCAUUCUUGAAAGACACAGAUGUUUUAUACAUUUAUUUGCCAUAUGUGUCAGACCAACUAAAAUAUUUAGGAUACUCAAGAGUUUCUCAAAAGGCACAGUGGGCAGCUGAAUGUAAUUUCUUAAUGUCAGGCUGAAUACCUUCAACAAGUUUAAUUACUUUGAGAAUGAAACAGUGCUAGAAAGUAAGCAGCUUGAGUUGCUCUUGGAAGCUCAGGAGGAGGUUUAGGCUCCUAAGGCACUACUCCCUGGUAUUCUGCUAAAAGAAAAUGGAACAAGAGGAUCAGUGCUGAUAGCCUGUGUCUUGUUACUGUCCAGUCUCAUUCGGAAUUCAGUAAGCUAUUUGGGUCAGUCUUCUACAGCAGUCAAUUUCACAAGUUAACUAUAUUUUGCUCAAAAUAUUUUCUAUCCUGCACAGGUAAAAGAGUGUUAUAGCCUGGAACAAAAGACUUUAGGUGGAAAGAAGCUGGUGUUUCAUGAAUGUCCUCUGACACUCCUGAAUUUUCUGUAUAUUCAAUUUCUGUAUGAGUCUUUCUAGCAAUAAUACAGUCAUAUCAAUGCUUAGUUAUUUCCCAGUCACUUAAUCCUCCUUCUGUUAAAAGACUUAUACACUGGCUUAUCUUAAGUCCCAACUUAAAGUUUAAAAAGUUAAUCAACAUAGAAAGACCCUCAGUUUACAUUUUUUAAAUUUUUAUUUUAGAUAUUUGGAAGGAUUUAAGGAAUAGAUUUCACAUUGCAUAUCAUUACUAUACUAUAAAUUCAAACAACAUUUAAGAAAAAAUAAUAUUGUAUAAUUUCUCACUUUAUUUUAAAAGUUGUGUUUUGCAGUACCAUGCUUAUUAAAUAGAAACACUACUAUCUUCCUUCUGUCGAGUGCUCUCUAAUGGAGACUGUUAUCCCCUACUUUGAAGUCCACAAAGGUUUGCAAAUUCCACAACAAGUGUUAAGUUAGCCUAAGAAACACUUUGGGAAAAAAAGAAAGAAGUCAUAAAGUGGCAUGAAAUGAGAUAAACAAAAAAAGGAGGGCAUAUUUUAAAAAUGUUUGGAAAGUAUUUCUUAUUCUUUCUAGAGUAGAAAAGCCUACUGAAAUAAUAUACCAUAAAGUCUUCAAAAAUAUUCUGUUUACAUUUUCCUUAGACUUGAUGUGGUCAAGUCACUUGAAAACCUCUCCAGUGCUGAAUAAUGUUGUGUGUAUGUAAAAGUUUCUGAAUAGCAAAGAAAUCUUUAUUAUGGAAUAGCAAAAUUUUAUUUACAGCCAAAUAGAAAAACAAUAGUGAAUUCUAGAAAUUUGUGCAGAUGCAGAGAGAAAAGCAUAGCCACAAAAACACAGAGAUAAGCUAAAAAACUUACAAGAAGCAAAAUGCAAAUCUACUUACUAAGAAGCUUAAAUAAUGAAACCCAGAUUUUUGUUACAAUAGUUUAAAGAAAAUUCAGAACUAUGAUUUUAUAAAUUUAAGCUGUAUUUUGGAUAUAAUUAACAGUGAUUUUAAGAACCCAUUAAUAGAUAUAUUAAAGUCUAACACUGUGCAACCAGCUUAGAGAGUCUGGGGUUCUUUUCUGAUUGUUUCUCGUGUGUCUAUAAGGUUCUAAAAAGCAGGGUUUUCUUUUUUAAUGUGCUGGAUAGAAUUACCACACUCAAACAAGUUAUAUGCACUAAUACCUUCAUAUGAGAUAAAGAACAGGUAUGUCCUUUUUCUGUCACUACGUAUUUUAGUAUUCAUGCUUCUGUCAGUAAAAUAAAGGAACAGAUCAGAAAUUAGAAAAUGGCAAGUAGUAGGAGAGAUGAGAAAUUAUGCAAACGCUGAAAUUACUUUUAGUGACUAUUACAUAACACUAUUAGUGACAUUUCCACCCCCACUGUUAAGAAGUAGUAAAGAUGUUUGGUACUUUUUAGUUCUCUUAAAGAAUUCAAAAUAAACUGAGUAAAAAUUAGAGGACAUUGGAUGAUAAAUGCUGUCUGAAUGAAAUACAUUCUGUGUCUAACCAGAUUUCCAAGGGAAAAUGUGUGGUAACUUGUCUAACGAUUUUGGAAAAAAAACAUGUUGAAAAGCUGCCUAGUACUACUAUUUCCAUUACUUGUGAUAUUAACGAGAUGUCUCUAGAAUUCUAUGGUGUCAAAUAAAUGGUAAAAAGAUACCAGUGACUGAAUAAUACAGAGAUUUUUUUUUGUCGUCAAAACAAAGAAGGAACAGAAGGAGAAGGAAAACAGAAUCACAGAUCUGUUAGGUUCAGCAUCAAUCAUUUCCAAACCUUAUCCAUAAUAAAUAUGCUUCUCAACACUGGUUUUGAAAAAGAUUAAAAAUUUCCCCAAAACAUGAGUCCUGUGUUGCUGUAAGAAAGAAUUGAUAAAGAAACAAGUUAUUACUUGAUUGUGUUGAUUUGUAGAAUAUAUUUAACAUUCUAUUUCCAAAAGCUGUAAGAAAAGCAAACAAACAAAAAAAAAAAAGGAGUGAAUUUCGAACUACAUCAUUACAUAUUGUUGUUUUGUGAGGAAAAAGUUGUUUGUGUUAUUUAGCCAACUGUCAGUGCUAUAUUGCUAUAAUUUAAAAGUGACAAAUGCUCUAUAGUGUAAACCGGACACAAUGUUCUCAUCAGCCCCCAAGACAGCUGCAUUUUCUACCCUUAGGUUUUUAGCGUCUGGGGAACACUGAAAAACUGCAACAAUAUUUAUUCUUCUUUCUGUUAACAACCUCUAUCAGUUUCCAGUGGCAGCAAAUUUAAACUUUUUUCACAAUAUUUUGUUUUCAAUAUUGAAAUAUACAAAUACGUAUUUACAGAUACAUUUUAAGUCCUGUAAAACCUGAUCAAGGUAAGAAGACAUUCCAAUCAUAUUAAGAGCUCUGUCUGCAGCAGCAGAAUUGAUACAAAAUUCCAGCCAAAGUUCGACUUAGUGUUUCGUAUGUCACCUCAGCAUGAAUAACUGGACAGCAUAAAUGUAAGUGUAAGCAGCUCAAAGACUACUUUUGUGGUGCUUACCCACAAAAGGGAGCAGCCUUAGUGAUUUACAACUGAAAAGCUAUCAGCUUGUCUUGAGGUCUUUGGAUUAUUUGGUAAAGCUCAUGUCAUUUAUAAUAUAUGAAGUGAUUUCAUUACUUACUAUGUGCAAAAAAAAACCCCUAUAAAAACGAAUGUGUUAUUCUAUCUUUUUUUCUUUACUUGGGAUAUAGGUAGAACAGUAUUUGUGAGCUUUAUCUUGACAGACUUAAGAACCCAAUGUAACAAAAGGGAUAGGAGUUAGUACAUGGAGAUGUGUACUUGGUGGUAUCUUACUCCUAUAAAUUAUACAAUAAUUUUGGAGAAUGAAAUAUUCAUUUAUGUUAAUGAUGAUGAAAUACAUUACUAUAGCCAAAAUGACUGCCCCUCAAGAGAUAAAUUAUGAACUUUUAUAGAACUCAGAUGCUGAUAUUUUAAAGAACUGAUACUUACCAGAAUUUUAAUAUAAUGCACUUAGCAAAUAAUCUUCCAGAGCCCUAAGGCUGUAUAUGAGCAUCUUCAUUUAACCCUAAACCCUGAUGACUUCUCUGGGAAGUAUGGAAGGUAGUAGUAGUACAUAUUGUAACAUUAAAUUAUUUGGGUCUUUUUCUCUAACUAAAAUUAUCAGUGCUAUAUGGCAGAUACAUAUUGUGUUAUAAACACCACAGAUCAAUAUUUAGAUUUAAAUAUUAAAUAAGAGAUGGUAGGAAGUUAAGGCUUCAUGAGUGGUACACAGUGCAUGUCCACUUGGGACCUUCUUGAAAUCAUGGUAGGCAUUUGGCAUGUAGGCAUUUGAAUGAUAUUAAGAUAAAAAUAGUAGUUGCAUAAUCUCUAUGCAUUUUUAGAUGCACUUACAUUUUGAGUACAUAUUUCUCAAAGACUACACUGAAUUUUUCUAACUCUGUUAAAAUAUGCAAUUAUGAAAAGAAAGGAACAUAUGGGGGGGAUGUUAUUAACAAUGUAGACUAGACCCGAAUGAAAGGCGGAAUUGAGAAGGGGGAAGCAAACAACUGAAAAAGCAAUCAAUUUGCCUCACUUCUUACUAAGUACACAGAAAAAUUAUUAUUGCUGCAGUAACCAUAUUCAACAGCUAGUACUAAGAUCAAGUGAGCAUAGCAAUUUCAUGUUAUUGGUUAAAAUAGAUGAGGGUUAGUAGAGAAAUCCUUGUAUUUUUAUAUUCUAGGGCAUAAAUGCUACUUUUACACAUUGAAACUAGGAAGAAGCUAAGUAAAUAUUUUGGGCUAAUAAUCUAAAUCUGUUAGUAAUAGAAAUUCAUUAAGAAAUGUCUUCAUUUAGAAACUAGAACCUUAAAAAUAUUGAAUUAAACUUUUAUGUACAUUGGUUCCAGUUUUCUAUAAAUAUGUUAUUAGUGGUGUAAUACCACAUAUAAAAUUCAUAAGGUUUAUUAUUUGCUAUGGGCUGUUAAAUAAAGUGCUGCAAAACUUAUUUAAACACACAUUCACCUGAUAGACUGCUGUAAUGAUCCAUGGCAACAUAUAUGCAUCCCACACACUGAUCUUUUGAACAACUCUAAUUCAUCAUGGGAAACAGAAUGUGCAAUUUUCUACUUCAGAAAGUAAAGACCAUUAAUAUUUAAGAGAAAACACCCUUAAUUUCUAGCAUUCACUGUCUUAGAAGAUUGUACUUAAAGACAUCAUCAAAGUUUUUGGUUUUGUUGAUAACACAUUAAAACCACCAAAAUAAAACCUUUUGAAAUGUUAUUAUUUAUUUGCUAUGAAGACUGUACUUGCUAAUGUGUAAUCUAUGUAAUGGAUAGAAAGGAUGAAAAUUGAACUAUUAAAACAUGUCUGGAUGCACA